rnacentral:tRNA from 1 species
GGUCCUAUAGUGUAGCGGUUAUCACUUCAGACUUUGAAUCUGGCACCGUGGGUUCGAAUCCCGCUAGGACCU